CUUACACUCUCACCCACUCAUUCACUUCCAUCUCAUCUCAUCCUCUUUCUCUCUCACCACAUUCAUUGCAAGAACAUUAUCUCUCUCACUAAAUUCUUGUUCAUUAAAUGUGUUUCAAGCUUAAUUAAUACUAGUUUAAACAUCAUUAUCACCAUAUAAUCAUCAUAUCAAAGAUUGGUGGGUCAAAGUUCAAGUAAACUCUCCAAACGGGUCAAAUUCGAGGUUGAGCAUUUGAGAAGGGUUUUGAAAGGUUUGGACGUGUGACUCUCACCAAACACUUAUAACUUGAUUAUAACUCGACGAUACAAGGCAAAGGUGAACAGGAGAAUCAAAGACGUGUUGGAUGAUGAUUGAUUGUU